GCGGCGUGGAUGCGGUAGCCCAGGUGGUAGUUUCGUGCUGACCGGAGGGAUUCUGAAAUUCGGAGACCGCGGGGGAGAGAAAACCACUGCCCGCAACACAGCUGAGAACAGAGCUAAGAGAUAGCACAGGGAGGGAAAGAAGCGCCAACAUUUUGGCGGAAAAAGCACAUCUUCCCCCAAAGCUCUGCGCUAAGUAAGCACCAGACCCUCAAGAGUGCGGGAGGGGGGGGGGGUGCAGAUGAGAAGUGGGGGCCGCAGUCAGAGAUGCUCGGGACGGAGCCACACCUGCACCCCGCCCUGCAGGACGGACCGCGACAGGUCAGCGCCCAGGCCUGGUUCCACCUGCUGGCGGGUGUUUGCGCCCCCCCCCCCCCCCCCCCCCGCGCCGGGGCCGUGGGGUCUGUGUCCCUUCAGACACUUGACUCGGACCGGGUGUGGCGAGCAAGCCAGGCAAGGGCGACCGGACGCAUUGGGGGAAAUCCUGGAGUGCAGCGGGGAGGAAGAAAUAGAACAGCCUGGGUUCCCGUGCGACGAGGUGGCCGAGUGGUUAAGGCGAUGGACUGCUAAUCCAUUGUGCUCUGCACGCGUGGGUUCGAAUCCCAUCCUCGUCGGCUGGCUUCCCUUCCGGUAGUGUCGCCCUUCCCAAGCGAUGCUAGCUCUGCUCCUGCUGGAACCUACUUUGUCAAUGGAGUUAGUGGAUUCACGUUUCAGCCCCCCACCGAAUUUGCAUUCCCUGACAAGUUCUGCUUAGAAAGGAUUCCCCACUAAGGAAACGACUGAAUAAUUGAGCACCAGAGAAACAUGUUGCCUAACAAAGAGGAACUGAUACAAUUGUCUGCCGAGUAACACUGUAACACUGGACCUCAUUACUUAAUUACUUAAGGCAUUUUCAAACUAAUGUUAUCUCUACUGCAGUUUUCAUCUGUUAUUUAUACUAACUUUAAAAGCAACCGUUAUUUCCUAAGGAUUCCUGUCUUUGACAAGGACGGAUAUGAAUUCUUAGAGGUAUGACCAAACUAAAAGUCACAUUCCCAGUUAGGGCUAAAGAUUUCUUCCUGAGGGGAGCAAAGGAAAAUGUUAGUCUUGUGUAGUUUCUACUGUGA